rnacentral:misc_RNA from 1 species
UGGCUCUGGCAUCGAUGAAGAACGCAGCGAAAUGCGAUAAGUAAUGCGAAUUGCAGAAUCCAGUGAAUCAUCGAAUCUUUGAACGCACAUUGCGCCCGCCAGCACUCUGGCGGGCAUGCCUGUCCGAGCGUCAUCAGCACCAAUCGGGGACCAAUGGUCCCCGGCGCUGGGGAUCGGCCCCUGCGGCCGCCCCCCAAAUGCAUCGGCGGCCCGCCCAUUCAGGCCCUGCAGACGCCCCCCUGCGCAGUAUCUACGCUCGACGCAGCGGGGGAGCAGGGCGCCUCGGGGGGACCGGGCCACGCCGCCAGCGACCGAACAACAGCUGACCUCGGAUCAGGCAGGGCUACCCGCUGA